AAAAAUAAUUGAAUAUUUUAGCAACGCGCCCCAAAAUUUUCCGGCUGUCAGCAACCCGCGUGGCUGAAAUUGUUGACAAAAAAAUCAUCUCCCGGCAAAAUGUUACUUUGUUGGGCUGGUCCGGUAGGCAACGGCAAUGGUUCCGGUGGUGCAAGGGCGCAGGUAGUCGGGUGUUUCCAGAUCGAGGAACAGGCGGCCUAGGAUGAUGAGGCCCUUGGUUCCGAAACUGAAGUGCUGAAGCUAGAAGGGAAAGGCUACGUGAAAGCCUUAGAGCAUAUAUACAAUGUAAGAAAAGGACUGGAGAAUCAAUCCAUUGAUUGAAAAAUGCGACGUUCUUUUUUUCCGAAAAGACACGAGAACCAGCAUCAUUACUGGAAAACCACGGGGCAGCAGCGACAAGAAAGGUUCAGCAGUGCUUCUUCAACACGAAGUAGGAUGGAUCGGAAGUGCCACUGCAUUUGAUACGGAAAGUGUUGCAGAAUUGGGAGCAUCCG